AACGAACGCUGGCGGCAUGCCUAACACAUGCAAGUCGAACGAGACCUUCGGGUCUAGUGGCGCACGGGUGCGUAACGCGUGGGAACCUGCCCUUGGGUUCGGAAUAACUCCCCGAAAGGGGUGCUAAUACCGGAUAAUGUCUUCGGACCAAAGAUUUAUCGCCUUUGGAUGGGCCCGCGUUGGAUUAGCUAGUUGGUAGGGUAAAAGCCUACCAAGGCGACGAUCCAUAGCUGGUCUGAGAGGAUGAUCAGCCACACUGGGACUGAGACACGGCCCAGACUCCUACGCGAGGCAGCAGUGGGGAAUAUAGGAAAAUGGGCGAAAGCCUGAUCCAGCAAUGCCGCGUGAGUGAUGAAGGCCUUAGGGUUGUAAAGCUCUUUUACCCGGGAUGAUAAUGACAGUACCGGGAGAAUAAGCUCCGGCUAACUCCGUG
rnacentral:rRNA from 1 species